rnacentral:lncRNA from 1 species
AAAUGUCUCUUCACGGAUCAAAUAGAACAUCACCAAUUUAAUUGGUGGAAGAGCCGGGUUAACUACAGGAAGAAAUUAAGAGAUGAUAAUCAAUUUAUGAAAAGUGAAUUCAUACAAAAGGCAAUUUGGUACUUUGAUAAAUAACCGAAAAUUAGAGUGACACCAGACUGUUUGGAUGAUAACACCCCACAAAAGGAAAUAGAGGACAUGGUAAAUCAAGAGCUUAUAGAACACGAGGUAAGAACUAAAUAAUCAUCAACGAUUCUGACCUCGUCCACAAAGUCCCCUUUCUCCGCUGUGUAUUUAAAGCCUUCAGUUGACACACAUUUUUUAUUCCGAUUCCAAUGGUUUUAUUCUAUUUCUUACUUUCUUUUUAGUUUUAAUAUGUUUGUCUGGACUACAAAAAAACACAGACAUUAUUGCAAGGUUUUCAUCAAAGGGAAUAGUGUGACUAUAUUUGUUUAAUACAUCAUUUUCCUUCUAUCAUUUCAUUUAUCGGGCAUAGACAAUACUAUGUCGGUAUGUUUACAUCAUAAAUCAAGGAAUUGUAUAACUUACUGUUUUUCUAUUCUAUAGCGUGUACAUAGGUUUUAUCGUACAGGUUAAUAAAAGGGAUGCAUAAAUAUGCUACGGCCUUUUUGCCUGGAGAAGUGUAAACCCUAGUUUCGUCAUAAUUUUCUAAAUUUAGUAAUAAAACAUUCAGAAAUAUACAUUUCAAGUAAAAUAUUAAUGGAUAACUAAUAUUAAUGAAAACAAUGAUUUCUCCUAUGCAAUAAUACCUUUGACAUUGAUAUGUUUACACCUUAUAUACUAGUAGAACAUUAGUAUUUUUCUAUCAUAGAUACAGAUUACCCAGAAAAGAAAAAGAAAACAAAGUGAACAAGACAAAACCAGACCUGAAAUGAAAUGAAAAAGCAGAAUAAAGGCAAAAAAGG